rnacentral:misc_RNA from 1 species
ACACCCCUCAAGCUCUGCUUGGUGUUGGGCGUCUGUCCCGCCGUCUCGGCGUGGACUCGCCCCAAAGGUAUUGGCAGCGGUCUUUGCCAGCUUCUCGCGCAGCACUUUGCGCUUCUUGAGGCACAAGGCGGCCCGCGACCACAAAGUUCAAUUCAUAAC